rnacentral:lncRNA from 1 species
GGGCAUUAAAACUAAGUAGCCAACGAAAAGCAAGCCCGCAGACUCCCUACGUUUAUACCUGGAGCCCGAGGUGGGUGCUGGGCGACUGUGGUUUCCCGGGUGCGCAGACGCCCAUGUGCGCAAUCAGAGUGCCUAAGCCCCGCGCAGAUCCGGCACCCCUUGGGGGGUAAUCCCCGCCAGGGCCUGGCUCUCUCGACCCCCAAACGCUGUCCCCAUCCUUCUCAUAAUGAUAACACCGAAAAUUCCACCACUGGAGCUUCCUCUCUGAGGCCUAAGGCUUUGAUUUCUGUUCCAUGCAAAUCUCCUCAGGCAGAGUCGGACUUCCCUGUGGCUGAGGGCUAUUUUGUGCGCAUGAAUAUGCAUAGAGACCUGUGAUGUCAGAAUGGGAACUAAGACCUAGAAAGUAAUCCCUGCUGCCCUUUCGCUGGCCCAGGAAGGGGUAAAUCACAGAUCAGUGUCAGAGGUGCGAUGAAAACCCAGGAGUUCUGAUUCCUGGGUCACCAUGCUCCCUUUGCCAAGGGUGGAGCCGACACCAACAGACUCUUAGCUCCUGUGCCCUGUGCAUCCUGGUGUUCGUGCACGUGCUGCACGGAGCUGCAUCCUGGGACAAUUUUAUGGCUGAUGAGAACAUAUCCUGAUCCACUCCACAUUUCAGUGUAACCUUGCAGUAUACCUGUAACACUGGAGGCACACAUCUCUUCCCUAGCAGCCCUUAAGAACCUGAAUGGUAGAGAGAGGGAGGAUCACAAAAGUUUGCUUCCAGCUCUAUACUCACCCACAGAUCAACGAGGGGCAAGGAUAGAAGCAGAGACAUCAAUGGAGAAGAGGCUAUAGAAAGAUUCUGAGCAAGAAAUGACAAUGGGUUGGUAAUGGUAGUGCAGGUGAUAAGAAGAAGUCACGUUCCAGAUGUACUUUUUCAGAUCAUUUGCUCUGGAGAAAGCCAGCAGGCAUGAGAGGCCCAUGUGGUGAGGAACUGAAGCCUCCUGCCCACAGCCACAUGUGUGAACUUAGAAAUUAGAAGAUCUUCUAGCCCAGUCAAUGGCUGUACAAUGGCUACAACCCUGGCUAAUACCUUGACUUCAACCUCACGAAACACUGAGCUAGAACCACCCAACUAAGCUGUUCCUAGAUUCCUCACCAUCAGGAACUGUGUGCUGUAAAAAUGCUUGUUAUUAUAAGCCACUAAAUUUUGAAGUGUUGUGUGACACAACAAUCUGUAAAUAAUUCAGAAUAGUAAAAUAUGAAUGGGAACACAAAUGUACAGACAUGG